rnacentral:lncRNA from 1 species
GCCCUCCCCUUCUUCAACCAAAGUGGCUGAUCGAGAUGUUUUCCUAAACAAAACUGUUCUCCCCCUGCUAAAUGCAUUGAAACGUGCCAUCUGGUGUGUAUGCUGGCCUCCUGAGAAAUUGAGUAGUCCAAGCUCGCAGCUGAGACUCAGCUCUUCUCUCCACCAGCUGCCAGGCUGUGGCUCGACCCGGGGCCCCAGGAGGGGAUUUGUCAGAGUAAAGGCCGCUGUGGGCAGCCUCUCGGCAACCGGCCAACAGCCCCUGCUGGCAAUGUGCCACCCCUGUGAACAGCACAGAUCGAGCUUCAGAUGUGCAAGGCCUGAGGAGAAAACAAAAAAGGAUGAUGGCAAGGAGAUGAGAAAAGUUAAACACAGAAAGAAAAUGACUGAGCUGGGGUCUGAACCACCAACCUCAUCUAAGUGUGGCUGCCACCAUUAUAUGGCUCAACUAACUCCCACAGAGCUUAACAAAAAAGUCGGCCUGCUAUGUAAAACCUGUAAAACCUCUGUUUUACACGAGAGAAACGAAAGGUAAGAGAAACUCAAAGAACUUGCACUUUUAGUGGUCCCACUGGGAAUGAAAACUGAGGGUUUUCAGUAUGAGACGUCAUCUCAUACUUCAAUGAGUGCCAGGAAGGAAAGGCUGGGCAUAGCCACCUGCAUCCCACACUGAAGGUUAAGUCCACUUUGAAAAGUUCAAAGGAACAAUGAUCUCAUGGCUUGAACUGGGAGGGAAAGAGGUGUUUGCUUCAUCUUCUACACCAACAUUUUAUUUUAUUUAUUUUAUUUUUUCAAGUAGACUCUACACCCAACGUGGAACUCAAACUCACGACCC